UACGUAGGGUGCAAGCGUUGUCCGGAAUUAUUGGGCGUAAAGAGCUCGUAGGCGGUCUGUCGCGUCGGCUGUGAAAACCCGGGGCUCAACCCCGGGCCUGCAGUCGAUACGGGCAGACUAGAGUGUGGUAGGGGAGACUGGAAUUCCUGGUGUAGCGGUGAAAUGCGCAGAUAUCAGGAGGAACACCGAUGGCGAAGGCAGGUCUCUGGGCCACUACUGACGCUGAGAAGCGAAAGCAUGGGGAGCGAACAGG
rnacentral:rRNA from 1 species